rnacentral:lncRNA from 1 species
UGCAAUUCUACCAUCUUUCUUGAAUGCCCUUUUGGAUUAGCUUAUUUUUCAGCUUAUGAAAAAUAGCUUAUGCAAAUAAAUAAACUUUUAUGUUAAUUCAUAAAUUCUCACUAGCAAAAAUUGUAUCUUCAUAAGUUGUUUUUCAUAAACUACCUCGACAAACUUAUUUAUUUGCAUAAGUUGCUUUGAAUAAGCUCAAAAAGCUUAAUUCAAAAACUUAUGAUCUCAUCAGCUACACAUUUUAACCCUAUUUUAAUUAAUUAAUCUCAAAAGCUUAAUUCAAAUUAACACAAGAAAUUAAACCAUAAUUUGAGAAAUUUGAGAAACAUAAAUAACACGACAAGUUAAAGUUCAAUAAGACCAACAGAACGCAAAAAAAAAUGAAACGAAUUAAAAAUUAGCAGAAUUAAGAAAAACAAGUUGAAUAAGCGUAGAGAAAUUGAGGAACGCGAUAAGAAGCCGAAAACAAAGAAAUAGCGAUCGAAAGCGAUUAAUUGAUUUGUGAGGUUGUGUUCUGAAUAUGGAAAAUAAAAAGGGAAUUAGAGAAAGAGAUUGAAGAGGCACACACGCACCUGAAAGGAUUGGAAGGUUUGAGAGAGAGGUUAUUCGGAAGGAAGAUAAAAGGCGGAGUUUGGGGGUGACGGAAAUGUUGUAAAAAGCUUCCUCUGAUCACCUUUUGCCAACAAUACAAUAAUAAUAAUACUCAUUCCGG